GUUGUGUAUCACGUCUACUGGCUGAGACCACAAGUGAGGUGUUCAGUUAUAAAGGUUUUACUGACACCAAUAACGAUUUUAUGACAACUGAUCUUUUGUCUAAAUGACAAUCUUUGUGGAUGUGGUUGUAGUUAUUAUCUGGCUAAUAACAAGAAGCUUUGAGUGAGAGCUAGUAGUUACAGUUUAGCUGCUACACAGCAAUAUCACAUCAGUGUUAGAGACAGAACUGCUCUUUCUUUUCAAUAGAACUGAAGUUACACAUGAUUUCCAAUCGGUUUGGUUUGUUAAAAUCAUCUUACAUUAUGAUACAGGACAUUGCUGGCUUUACAGGAGAAGAUGCCAGACUUUUGUGCAGUCUACAGAUUCUCCAAUCGCCGUCGUCUCAAAACGAGAGCCCGUGGAUCACCUUUCACCUGAGCGAGGACUUUGACAGAACGGGGCACAAUGUCCAGAUUAAAGAUGCUGUUGUGCCAAACAUUUUUAACUUUCCAGCUCAUCUUCAAAUGGUCUGUGUAUCACUGACCAACAAUAAUUCAAGCUGUAUAAGAUUGAUAUAUCAAUGUGUGAUUAAAUGUCACUUUAGUGUUUGUUUCUGCACCACAUCGCUAAAAUGACUAACCUUACCUUCCAGAGCAACAACAUGCGACAGAAGCUCAAUAAAACCGUCCUUUUCAAAGAGCAUUAGCCCUUUUUAUCUCUGUCCUUCACAGUAGUGUAGUUCUCUCUACAGGGAGGGAUUUCAACAUGCAGCAUUUCUUUAUGUAUAUUUGUAAAGGGGAAUCUUGUACCUAUUUUUAUUUGCAAAUAAAUAUAACUUUUAUAAUAGUUUAUAAA